rnacentral:rRNA from 1 species
UGAAAUCAAGUGUGACGACCCGCUGAACUUAAGCAUAUCAA